GGUCAGGGCGCGCAUGCGCAGUGGGUUGGCCGCGCGCGUUCUCGCUCCGCGGUGCCCGGGGGUCCGCGGGCGUCGGGUCCCUGGCCAGUGUCGCAGGUCGCGCUGGCGAGGGGUGCUGAGUCUGCGCAGAGGGGGCGCUCCGGACCUCGGCCGUGAGUCCAGAAUUGCGAGUUCCGAGGAAGUGCCUCCGGAGAAGUCCUCAAUCCUGGGAAUUUCCGUGGAGCGGAGUGACAGAGGUGCCUUGAGCAUAUUCAUGAGGUGACAUUGGAAAGCACUCAGGGAUGGGCCGAGGGAGCUGGCCAAGUCCUGGACGGUGGGAACUGCCGGUCCCCCCGCCCCCCUGACCUCUGGACCAGGGAGAGGAGCUAGUGGUUGAGUCAAACACCAAGGCCUGUGAUUUAGUCCAUCCCGCCUGUAUCAAGGAGCCGGCAUAAGCCCCCGAAGCACGGAGUUCUGAGAGCUUCCAGGUCGGUGAGCAUGCGGGCGUGGGACAGCCCCGCGCAUCCUGUCUCCGUGCCUGGUCCCGAGCGUCCCUUACAUCUGGCUGUUCUCGAGUUCUGUGCUUUUAUCAUAAACCAGUAAUGUAGUGAGUAAAAUGUCUCUCUGAA